UAAUACGGAGGGUGCAAGCGUUAAUCGGAAUUACUGGGCGUAAAGCGUACGUAGGCGGUUUGUUCAGUCAGAUGUGAAAGCCCCGGGUUUAACCUGGGAACUGCAUUUGAUACUGGCAGACUAGAGUAUGGUAGAGGGGGGUAGAAUUUCUAGUGUAGCGGUGAAAUGCGUAGAUAUUGGGAAGAACACCAGUAGCGAAGGCGGCUACCUGGCUCGCAACUGACGCUAAGGCGCGAAAGCGUGGGGAGCAAACAGGAUUAGAUACCCUGGUAGUCCACGCUGUAAACGAUGAACACUAGGUGUUGGUUUGCCGCAGGCUGAUCAGUGCCGCAGUUAACGCAUUAAGUGUUCCGCCUGGGGAGUACGAUCGCAAGGUUG
rnacentral:rRNA from 1 species